AUUCAGCUGACGAGUCCCAAAUUGGAUGAAACGAGGGUGAAACUGAAU
rnacentral:hammerhead_ribozyme from 1 species